rnacentral:rRNA from 1 species
AACGAACGCUGGCGGCAUGCCUAACACAUGCAAGUCGAACGAGACCUUCGGGUCUAGUGGCGCACGGGUGCGUAACGCGUGGGAACCUGCCCUUAGGUUCGGAAUAACUCCCCGAAAGGGGUGCUAAUACCGGAUAAUGUCUUCGGACCAAAGAUUUAUCGCCUUUGGAUGGGCCCGCGUUGGAUUAGCUAGUUGGUAGGGUAAAAGCCUACCAAGGCGACGAUCCAUAGCUGGUCUGAGAGGAUGAUCAGCCACACUGGGACUGAGACACGGCCCAGACUCCUACGGGAGGCAGCAGUGGGGAAUAUUGGGCAAUGGGCGAAAGCCUGAUCCAGCAAUGCCGCGUGAGUGAUGAAGGCCUUAGGGUUGUAAAGCUCUUUUACCCGGGAUGAUAAUGACAGGACCGGGAGAAUAAGCACCGGCUAACUCCGUG